CACAGGCGACACAUGUAUGCGUCUGCGAUUAGGUAGAGCAAGGGCGGCAUCAAAACUGGCUCACAUUCACAUGGACGGACCACCACGCCCACGCUGCCUGCAGGCAACGGCCACUCGCUGUCGCUGCGCUGCAAACUCCCCGCUCCGGUUCCGGCCAGAUCCAUCCUUGUCCACUACAGAUGUAGAUCAGGUUUGCCAGUGGAGUGCAGGUUUGCCAGUGAACUACAGUGCACUUAUCACUCAGCGAGGCAUAGGAACAGUAGUCUGGUGGUUUAUGCCUCUCAAGAUCGAUUGGUGAUCAGGAUCUGUCUAAUGCUGGAGGCCAUCUUAUUAUUUCAAGCGACGGUGUCUGGGAUGCUUUUGACUGCAGAAAUGGCUUUUAAAUGUGCACGAGGGCUUCCUCCUGAGGCCGCAGCUGAGCCAAUUGUUAAAGAAGCAGUUGAAGCAAAAGGAUUGAGAGAUGAUACAACUUGCAUUGUCAUUGACAUAAUAUCACCAGAGAAACCAAAACGCACUAUACAAUCUCAAAGAACGCCAGGAAAAGGCCUUGUGCUUCUAAAAAAAAUUCUUUUUAAGGAAAACAACAUCUGACUCGUUGUCUCUCCCUUAUAAGAAUAAUUAUCCUGAGCCAGAUUUGGAGGAGGUCUUUGAGGACGGAUGCCCAUCCCUAUCAAGGAGGUAUCAUUGGAAUUCAGUCUUCAGUUUGACAAAUAACGGUUUAGUAGCACCAGAAAAAGAGGGGGUCAUGAUUCCACAGUCUGUUAAGUUAUGAGGUAUCAUUGGAAUUCGUGUCGAUAUGUCAUCCCUGCAAACAUACAACAACGACUUAUUGAUAUCGCUAAAAAGGACUAGAUUAGUGUAUGGUUGUCGAUAUAUUUGUCUGUCAUUAUAAAAUUCUAAAUUGACUCUUAAGAAAUAUUUUGUGUGAUAUUGAUAAUGUUUACCACACGGAUUUUACAUA